rnacentral:lncRNA from 1 species
GUAGGGACAUCAUCCACUUAAAUCCUAGGCAUCCAAGUAGGUGGGUCGUCGCUCUCCACCGCACUUGGGGACGAACAACCUCCGGGACAGUAGGGAAAUCAUCUACUUAAAUCCCAGGCAUCUAGGACAGUAGGGACAUCAUCCACUAAAAUCCUAGGCAUCCAAGUAGGUGGGUCGUCGCUCUCCACCGCACUUGGGGACGAACAACCUCCGGGACAGUAGGAAAAUCAUCUACUUAAAUCCCAGGCAUCUAGGACAGUAGGGACAUCAUCCACUUAAAUCCUAGGCAUCCAAGUAGGUGGGUCGUCGCUCUCCACCGCCCUUGGGGACGAACAACCUCCGGGACAGUAGGGAAAUCAUCUACUUAAAUCCCAGGCAUCUAGGACAGUAGGGACAUCAUCCACUUAGAUCCUAGGCAUCCAAGUAGGUGGGUCGUUGCCCUCCACCACACUUGGGGAAAAACAACCUCUGGAACAGUAGGGAAAUCAUCCACUUAGAUUCCAGGCAUCCAAGUAGGUGGGUCGUCGCCCUCCACCACACUUGGGGAACAUAAACCUCUGGGACAGUAGGGACAUCAUCCACUUAGAUCCCAGGCAUCCAAGUAGGUGGGUCGUCGCCCUCCACCACACUUGGGGAACAUAAACCUCUGGGACAGUAGGGACAUCAUCCACUUAGAUCCCAGGCAUCCAAGUAGGUGGGUCGUCGCCCUCCACCGCACUUGGGGACGAACAAAUAAAAAAUAUUUUCGAAUAAAAACUCCAACCCCUGAGGGUUUUCCAAAGCUGCACCCCUGAGGGUCUUCCUGAUGGUUUACCGGAAGUACGGGCCACCAGGGCAUAGGAAUUCUUUCGAACCAUCUUAUGAAGAUGGUUGUCCAGGCAUCCCGAGGGUGUCAAACAUGUGCCUCGAUUACACAUGAAGACGAAUUCCAAAGCAGCAGGGAGGUUGUCCCUGGUCUUCACGCUCCAAACAAGACA